rnacentral:rRNA from 1 species
AGAGUUUGAUCCUGGCUCAGGAUGAACGCUAGCUACAGGCUUAACACAUGCAAGUCGAGGGGCAUCAGGAAGAAAGCUUGCUUUCUUUGCUGGCGACCGGCGCACGGGUGAGUAACACGUAUCCAACCUGCCCUUUACUCGGGGAUAGCCUUUCGAAAGAAAGAUUAAUACCCGAUAGCAUAAUGAUUCCGCAUGGUUUCAUUAUUAAAGGAUUCCGGUAAAGGAUGGGGAUGCGUUCCAUUAGGUUGUUGGUGAGGUAACGGCCCACCAAGCCUUCGAUGGAUAGGGGUUCUGAGAGGAAGGUCCCCCACAUUGGAACUGAGACACGGUCCAAACUCCUACGGGAGGCAGCAGUGAGGAAUAUUGGUCAAUGGGCGUUAGCCUGAACCAGCCAAGUAGCGUGAAGGAUGAAGGCUCUAUGGGUCGUAAACUUCUUUUAUAUAAGAAUAAAGUGCAGUAUGUAUACUGUUUUGUAUGUAUUAUAU